CGGGUGAGGAAAACGUAGUAACCAACCCUUUAGACUGGGAUAGCCACUGGAAACGGUGGGUAAUACCGGAUAAGCUCGAGAGAGGAAAGGCAGAGAAGCGCUAAAGGACGGAACUGCGCCCCAUCAGAUAGUUGGUGAGGUAAAGGCUUACCAAGUCAAAGACGGGAAACCGACGUGAGAGCGUGUACGGUCACAAGGGCACUGAGAGACGGGCCCUACUCCUACGGGAGGCAGCAGUGGGGAAUAUUGGACAAUGGACGAAAGUCUGAUCCAGCGACGCCGC
rnacentral:rRNA from 1 species